UUAUUUGAGAGUUUGAUCCUGGCUCAGGAUGAACGCUGGCGGCGUGCCUAACACAUGCAAGUUGAGCGAUUUACUUCGGUAAAGAGCGGCGGACGGGUGAGUAACGCGUGGGUAACCUACCCUGUACACACGGAUAACAUACCGAAAGGUAUGCUAAUACGGGAUAAUAUAUUUGAGAGGCAUCUCUUGAAUAUCAAAGGUGAGCCAGUACAGGAUGGACCCGCGUCUGAUUAGCUAGUUGGUAAGGUAACGGCUUACCAAGGCGACGAUCAGUAGCCGACCUGAGAGGGUGAUCGGCCACAUUGGAACUGAGACACGGUCCAAACUCCUACGGGAGGCAGCAGUGGGGAAUAUUGCACAAU
rnacentral:rRNA from 1 species